CCCCCUGGGCGCCUAUCUGCAAGUCGAGCGAAUGAUGAGGAGCUUGCUCCUCUGAUUUAGCGGCGGACGGGUGAGUAACACGUGGGUAAUCUGCCUGUAAGACGGGGAUAACUCCGGGAAACCGGGGCUAAUACCGGAUAAUAAGAGAAGAAGCAUUUCUUCUUUUUGAAAGUCGGUUUCGGCUGACACUUACAGAUGAGCCCGCGGCGCAUUAGCUAGUUGGUGAGGUAACGGCUCACCAAGGCGACGAUGCGUAGCCGACCUGAGAGGGUGAUCGGCCACACUGGGACUGAGACACGGCCCAGACUCCUACGGGAGGCAGCAGUAGGGAAUCUUCGGCAAUGGGCGAAAGCCUGACCGAGCAACGCCGCGUGAGCGAUGAAGGCCUUCGGGUCGUAAAGCUCUGUUGUUAGAGAAGAACAAGUACGAGAGUAACUGCUCGUACCUUGACGGUACCUAACCAGAAAGCCACGGCUAACUACGUGCCAGCAGCCGCGGUAAUACGUAGGUGGCAAGCGUUAUCCGGAAUUAUUGGGCGUAAAGCGCGCGCAGGCGGUCUCUUAAGUCUGAUGUGAAAGCCCACGGCUCAACCGUGGAGGGUCAUUGGAAACUGGGAGACUUGAGUGCAGGAGAGAAAAGUGGAAUUCCACGUGUAGCGGUGAAAUGCGUAGAGAUGUGGAGGAACACCAGUGGCGAAGGCGGCUUUUUGGCCUGUAACUGACGCUGAGGCGCGAAAGCGUGGGGAGCAAACAGGAUUAGAUACCCUGGUAGUCCACGCCGUAAACGAUGAGUGCUAGGUGUUGGGGGGUUCCACCCUCAGUGCUGAAGUUAACACAUUAAGCACUCCGCCUGGGGAGUACGACCGCAAGGUUGAAACUCAAAGGAAUUGACGGGGGCCCGCACAAGCAGUGGAGCAUGUGGUUUAAUUCGAAGCAACGCGAAGAACCUUACCAGGUCUUGACAUCCUUUGACCACUCUAGAGAUA
rnacentral:rRNA from 2 species